CCCUUAGAUGUUCGGGGCCGCACGCGCGCUACACUGAAUGGAUCAACGUGCCUUUCCCGAGGCUGAAAAGUCGAGGUAAUCCGUUGAACCCCAUUCGUGACGGGGAUAGGAGCUUGCAAUUAUUCUCCUUGAACGAGGAAUUCCCAGUAAGCGCGAGUCAUCAGCUCGCGUUGAUUACGUCCCUGCCCUUUGUACACACCGCCCGUCGCUACUACCGAUCGGAUUGUCCCGUGAAUUUCUAGGAGAGUUGAGGUCCUGGCGCUUCGGUGUCGGCGACCUCAUGCUUGAAUUGAAUUGAACUGGACUCUCUAGAGGAAGUAAAAGUCGUAACA
rnacentral:rRNA from 1 species